AACGAACGCUGGCGGCGUGCCUAACACAUGCAAGUCGAGCGUGAAAGUCCCUUCGGGGGCAAGUAAAGCGGCAGACGGGUGAGUAAUACAUAGGUAAUCUACCUUCGAGCUUGGGAUAACCCCGCGAAAGUGGAGCUAAUACCGGAUAAGACCACGUGGCAUACGCUACGGGGUAGAAGGUGGCUUGUAUUUAUACUGGCUAUCACUUGAGGAUGAGCCUAUGGCCUAUCAGCUUGUUGGCGGGGUAAGAGCCCACCAAGGCUAUGACGGGUAGUUGGUCUGAGAGGACGACCAACCACACUGGGACUGAGACACGGCCCAGACUCCUACGGGAGGCAG
rnacentral:rRNA from 1 species